CCAGCACCCUCUGCAAGGAUGGGGAAAUGUAGCGAGGGGGAGAGGCUUGGAAAGCGUCCUGAACCAAAGAGAGAGGGAGGGGGGAAGAGAAAGAGAGAGAGGGAGGUGGUGCAUCCUCCGCAUCCUCCUCCUCCUCCACGCCUGCCCGGCUGCGGCAAAGCUCCGCAGUAGGUGCUCCCCUCCCCCGUGCAUUUCCUUUGCUGUAGAAACUUCUGGAAUCAGCAGCCGAGCUGGGGAGAGGAAAGCAGAGCAACCCUGCUGCCCGCAGAGGGGGGAGAAAAAAAAAAGCGAGCUGAGCCAUAGAGCAGGCAAUAAAAGGGAGAGGAAUGCACAGCAGCGGGGCACGCACGUCGCUCCGUGCAUCACGUAGGGCAGCCCGCGGGGCUGGAAAUAAAGCACAAAAGCACACAAAUGGUGGUGUGUGCGGCGCUGGAUAGUGGGACAAGGAGCUGAGCCCUCCUCCCGGAGCUGCACUAAGCCCUGCCACUCAGUUCAGCUCAUCCGUCCUCAUUUCGGUGCAAUGAAUUCAGUGCCUGCCCGACUGCACUGGCAGAGUCAGCUGCCUUCUUCUUUUUUUUUUUUUCUUUUUUUUAAAUAAUUAAUAUUGCUUUCCUUUUUGGUUCUGUUUCACUGCUUUAUUUUUUACUUUUUAUUUUUUUAUCCUUUAAUUAAGAAAUCUUUCCCCAACAUCCCAAGGGAAAUCUACACCUCUGUGGAACAAAUAAAGCAUUCAGGCACCAAUCUUCACCACGGACUGAUCAAAUGGGCGGCUGGUCGCAUUUUGCUUGUUUUUACCUUUUUUAACUAUUAUUUUUCGUCUUUUUUUUUUUUCUUUUGGGUGUGUGCGUGUAAUUUUUUUUCCCUCUUGCUCUUAGGACAGUAGAAAGCCAAUGGAGGAAAACAAAGGGAAGCAUUAAAUAUUGACUCAGAUGCUCUUGUUAUUUCCUGCACUUGACUUGUGGCUUUAUAAGCGCUUUUGGCUAAAAGGGAAACCCCUCUGUCUGUGUGGUUUGCAAUAUGUUCACAGACAAGACCAAUGAGUGCAGGUGGCACCGCUCACACGGGUGCACAGAGUUUUCAUUUCUGCCUGUUUUCCAUACCACGGACCAAAAGAAAGUCAGAAAGCUUCUGCUGGUGGAGUGGCAUUAUCUUGGAUAAGAUGCAAAACCUCAGUGUCAGGACAGCGUUGCUGUAUACAGAAGACAGAAAUCAGGCAGAGUUUUUC
rnacentral:lncRNA from 1 species